rnacentral:rRNA from 1 species
ACUAGGACUCCCUAUGGUUGUCUCAAAGAUUAAGCCAUGCAUGUUAAGUAUAAGCAAUUUAUACAGUGAAACUGCGAAUGGCUCAUUAAAUCAGUUAUCGUUUAUUUGAUAGUUCCUUUACUACAUGGUAUAACUGUGGUAAUUCUAGAGCUAAUACAUGCUUAAAAUCUCGACCCUUUGGAAGAGAUGUAUUUAUUAGAUAAAAAAUCAAUGUCUUCGGACUCUUUGAUGAUUCAUAAUAACUUUUCGAAUCGCAUGGCCUUGUGCUGGCGAUGGUUCAUUCAAAUUUCUGCCCUAUCAGCUUUCGAUGGUAGGAUAGUGGCCUACCAUGGUUUCAACGGGUAACGGGGAAUAAGGGUUCGAUUCCGGAGAGGGAGCCUGAGAAACGGCUACCACAUCCCAGGAAGGCAGCAGGCGCGCAAAUUACCCAAUCCUAAUUCAGGGAGGUAGUGACAAUAAAUAACGAUACAGGGCCCAUUCGGGUCUUGUAAUUGGAAUGAGUACAAUGUAAAUACCUUAACGAGGAACAAUUGGAGGGCAAGUCUGGUGCCAGCAGCCGCGGUAACUCCAGCUCCAAUAGCGUAUAUUAAAGUUGUUGCAGUUAAAAAGCUCGUAGUUGAACUUUGGGCCCGGUUGGGCCGGUCCGAUUUUUUCGUGUACUGGAUUUCCAACGGGGCCUUUCCUUCUGGCUAACCUUGAGUCCUUGUGGCUCUUGGCGAACCAGGACUUUUACUUUGAAAAAAUUAGAGUGUUCAAGCAGCGUAUUGCUCGAAUAUAUUAGCAUGGAAUAUAGAAUAAGGACGUUUGGGUUCUUAUUUUUUGGUGGGGCUC